rnacentral:rRNA from 1 species
AUUGAACGCUGGCGGCAGGCUUAACACAUGCAAGUCGAGCGGUAACAGAGAGAAGCUUGCUUCUCUGCUGACGAGCGGCGGACGGGUGAGUAAUGCCUAGGAAUCUGCCUAGUAGUGGGGGAUAACUUGCCGAAAGGUAAGCUAAUACCGCAUACGUCCUACGGGAGAAAGGAGGGGACCUUCGGGCCUUUCGCUAUUAGAUGAGCCUAGGUCGGAUUAGUUAGUUGGUGAGGUAAUGGCUCACCAAGACCGCGAUCCGUAACUGGUCUGAGGGGAUGACCAGUAACACUGGAACUAAGACACGGUCCAGACUCCUACGGGAGGCAGCAGUGGGGAAUAUUGGACAAUGGGGGGAACCCUGAUUCAGCCAUGCCGCGUGUGUGAAGAAGGUCUUAGGAUUGUAAAGCACUUUAAGUUGGGAGGAAGAGCAGUUAACUAAUAUUUGACUGUUUUGACGUUACCGACAGAAUAAGCACCGGCUAACUUCGUGCCAGCCGCCGCCGUAA